rnacentral:rRNA from 1 species
GAUGAACGCUGGCGGCGUGCUUAAUACAUGCAAGUCGAGCGAAUGGAUUAAGAGCUUGCUCUUAUGAAGUUAGCGGCGGACGGGUGAGUAACACGUGGGUAACCUGCCCAUAAGACUGGGAUAACUCCGGGAAACCGGGGCUAAUACCGGAUAAUAUUUUGAACUGCAUGGUUCAAAAUUGAAAGGCGGCUUCGGCUGUCACUUAUGGAUGGACCCGCGUCGCAUUAGCUAGUUGGUGAGGUAACGGCUCACCAAGGCAACGAUGCGUAGCUGACCUGAGAGGGUGAUCGGCCACACUGGGACUGAGACACGGCCCAGACUCCUCCGGGAGGCAGCAGUAGGGAAUCUUCCGCAAUGGACGAAAGUCUGACGGAGCAACGCCGCGUGAGUGAUGAAGGCUUUCGGGUCGUAAAACUCUGUUGUUAGGGAAGAACAAGUGCUAGUUGAAUAAGCUGGCACCUUGACGGUACCUAACCAGAAAGCCACGGCUAACUACGUGCCAGCCGCCGCUGUAA